rnacentral:rRNA from 1 species
UACAGGUGGGAUUGCGUUUGAACCUUUAACAGGUAUUAAGCGUGAUUAGGCGGUUCAGAGCCCGAAAGGGUCAACUAGAGUUACUUGAGGAGAAUAAGGAAUAACCCAUGAAAGGAUGAAAUCUGGAGAUAUGGGUUAGAACAUCUACUAGCGACAGCAUUAUUCUAUUAAGUAACUGACGCUGAUUCACUAAAGUGUGGGGGAGCAAAUCGG